rnacentral:lncRNA from 1 species
CUCCUCCUCGUCUGCCUGCACACGGCGCAGCCCGCGAAGCGGAAGCGGCAGAGGCGUGAGUGUGUCCCGGCGCAGCGGGCUCGCGUGUGGCUGGGGUGGGGGAACAUUCCUGGGAGCGGUCCCGGGGACCUGCCGGCCUCGAUGCCUGGCCACGACGCUCCGGUGCCCCCACCUCACCCUGUGGCAUUUCUCCCCAGCUUACCAGAAACCUGGCUAUUGCCCAGAGUUUCUUCUUGAAUGCCCCUUUACCCUCUUGCCUGCGUGCAAGCGCGAUAAGGGUUGCCGCAGGACGAAGAAGUGUUGUUUCUACAACUGCAAGAAGCAGUGUCUGGAGCCCUUGACAAGCUGGGAUUGAGGUGAGACACCGCCACCCCCGCCCCAACCCCGCGUCUGCUGCUCUAGCCUCUGCCCCAGGAAUGUUCCCGAAGAACACGGUGUCCCGGAGGGAAUCGAGAACCGUCACUGCCCUGAGAAACCUUGGAGAACAGAGCUUUACAAUUGGGAUCUACCCUGAAAUUCGUCUCGUGGGCCCUAGAGAGGGAGGCCCCAAGAACCCCUUCCGAGGAAAAGGCGCAGUUUAAUUUCCUGUAAUAGACAUCACGCCUUUCUUUUGAAUGGUGGUGCCGUUUGGAUGAAGUGAUCUCCAAGCCCCUCAACUGUUCCCGAAUUUUUAGUAUGAUUAUUUUCAAUUGCCAUUGUUUUUUCUUACAGCUUAUAAUAGUGACUUUCCUCUCCACAUUAAAAAUGUGAGGUAAGGGAUUCUAAGAUUCUCAUUCCUGAGGAUGUCUCUCCUGGAAUUCUCUCUCCCUUGUCCCUGAUUCCUGGGCAGCACCUCCCAGUGCCCCUGGGAAGAGAGUCGCUGGCAGGAUUCAGGCCCUGGGUGGUCUGGGGACCCAGUCUAUGCCCCCCACCCCGCUACAGUUUGCACCUUCCCACAUCUCUGAUUCCCUCCUCUCUCCCCAGGUAGAAACCCCUUCUUAACCAGACCUGAGAAGACCCAUGGCACCGGCUGAGACCUGGAUAACUGACCCUCAAUUCCUCCACGCUCUUCUCACUCCCCAAACUUCCUUUCAUCAAAAGUUAAAUGCUUAUUAAUAUGAAAACAACAGAAAGAAAGAGUGUUGUAUAUUUAAAACUACAUGAAAAUCUAUGACUCCUGGAUGUCCCCCCGCCCCCCNCCUCGCUUCUCUGUCUUUCAGCCUUUGUGGGGGGGGGGGUCCUUCAGAGUUUGUAAAAAGGGUAGAAGUUACUGUUUCACAUUUCAUUUUGGUUGGUUCUUGCACUUCUGUUUUUUCGGAUAUGUUUCUCUCUCGCAGUGUCUCCUGACCUUCAGAUUUUUUGUUGGUCAGAUUCCAGGGGCAUUUUUGAGUCAUAUCUUCUGGGUCUGGAUCCUGUGAAAGCUGUACACAUUACCCCCAGGUGGACGAGGAAGACGGGUCAUUGUCUCUGGUGUUGCUGCCUUUCCACUCGUGCGAGUAGCGUGUUCUCGGGCCACGUCUGGAACUUAGGGCUGGAAAUGGAGCAGGUCGUGCCUUUGUUCCAAGCUACUUUAGGGUCUCAAAUGUAGACCCAUCAUAAAUCAAGAAAAGAAACACUGUGACCCAGUUUAGCAACCUUAAGUCUUAGUGUGGGGGUGCAGCCCCUAAGCUACCUAAUAAUGAAAUGAUACCCUUGCAUUUCUUACCUUCUGCUAUCUGAUUCAGUCUUGAUUAGGGGUCACACAAGGAUUUCAGGUCGGGGAAUGUGGCCUUCAAAAAAUUUAUUUUUCUUGGACACACACACACCUGAAACAAAGUUUUGUGAAACUGCCGUUGCCUAGAAUGUUUUAAGUUGACGUAUAUAAUAUUUUUCAUCAUAACUUACAUGGUUGCAAGUGCUAGAAUUUUAGGGAUAUGAUGAGUAUUUUCAUUUAAAUACAGUGGCCUGGGAGGCUCAGUCAGUUAGGCAUCCGACUCUUGAUUGCAGCUCAGGUCAUGAUCUCAUGGUUCAUGAGAUCAAGCCCCACGUCAGGCUCUGCAGUGACAGCGGAGCCUGCUUGGGAUUCUC